UUGGGAAAAGAAAACCCUCCGUACGUACUCUUCUUCCUCGAUCAAUUUUUUUCCCGAUUCGAGCAAAAUGUGUGCAGACAAUCCGCUUCGGUAUCCGUGGAAGCAUCAAAUUUGUUCAUCGAUUAUCUCCUUCAGUUGCUUAAUCACGGCUGCGAGAUGGAUGGAGUAAUUGAGCUGGUCGCUGAUGCCAUAUGCUCGUGUUUUGGUAGCUGCGUGGACAUCUGCGUGAUCACAAAGUUGCCCAGAUUUUUAUAUUGUGGAAGUUGAAACUGAGCUGGUCGCUGAUGCCAUAUGUUCGUGUUUUGGUAGCUGCGUGGACAUCUGCGUGAUCACAAAGGUUUGUCUUCACCCUGCUUUGAUUGAUUAUCUACAAAACUCAUAGAGAUUAUCUGUAUAAGAGAAAAAGGUCUUAAUCUCCGGGAACAACCAUCGUUGGUUUGCUUGUUUUCUCUCUUAGUUUCUCGUUUAUUACAGAUGUCCGUAGAAUUGGAUUAGUCAAGAAGUUGAGGCCUAAGACUCACCCCUUUCAGCAUUGCAGGGAUAGCGCUACUUAAUGUGAUUGUUUAUAUUUGUAUCCUGUAAAAAAAUUAUUGGGUCUUUGUUCACAAGCAUUUUCCUUUUCACAUGGUGGUGCGUAUGAUCAGCUCUCCGCCUCUCCAUAUAGUUUAGAGUACAUCAUUCAAACGUGUAAAGAUGUGUAUGUUCUUGUGCUCUCACUGUGGAAGCUAUAUAAGACUGAUUUCAAUACUAUGGGCGGAUACCCGAGUAGUUGAGGCUAGAGGCCAAUUGGUGCUGACAAAAAUCGUGAGAAGAUUCACUAUAUGGCACCAAACAUAUAUUGCUGUGGUGCAGGAACCACUGCUGACACUGAAGCAGUAACUGGUAUUUUGUUUCUAACUUUAGUGUGGCAGAUUUUGUUUUCUUGGUUAAGGACAUAUCAGGAUCUAAUUGACUUGAUGUGUCGCUCUACAGAACUUAACGCUUUAGUUGUCUUUUUUUUGGUCUCACUGUCCAGAUAUGGUCAAAGCAUUAAAGGAUGCAAAAGAAUGGCAAAAUGCCCAGCUUGCACUCCCUCCAACACCCCAGAUUGGUGUGUUGUUUCAGGUGCAUUACGAGCUGGUGUGAAGCACUUCCUGCUAAACUCAGAUUGCCUACAACUUGUUCAAGCAAUAAACUCCACAGCUUUACUCGCAGAAGUUCAUAGAGUCUUAUCUGAUGUAUUCCUUAGCAUUUUGAAUUUUUCUACCUCGUCGUUUCUUUCCCAGAUCAGCUAAUGUAUUGGCUGCUAAUCUGGCAAAACUGGCUUUAAACUUGUAUGCCCAAACAAU